rnacentral:misc_RNA from 1 species
AUCUAGGAAAUGCCAAUGAAAAAACAUGGAAUAAAUAAUCAGUAAAUGGUGAAGUUUCAACUAAUAAUAGAAUGAAAUUUGGUCAAGUAACAUGAAGCUUAAAACAUGUUGAAAAGGGAAGGUGAAAGACUCAAGAAUACCAGUUAACCAGACAAAAAGGGCAAAUGACAGUAAGAACACAGCAUUGGAAUUGAAAUCAUCAAAGCCACCCUCAAUUUCUACUUCAUCUGCUAAAUCCAACAAUGUUUCCUAGUGUCAUAUGAACACCCAAUUUGAGAAAGGUAGGUUCCAGGUUAUUGCUACACAACCUAUAAUCCAUAGGCGUAUGCCAUCAAUCGUAUUAAGCACUCAGAUAUAGAAAUUUAGUUCCUCAGAGGAGCAAAGCUCACAUGGUAUCUGAUGACUUUAACACCAGGGAAAAUAUUGCAAAAUUAAGGACCAAAAUGUGAAUAAGAAAUGACGCAAGCAGGACCUUGUUCUUAUAUUUCACGCCAGUCCCUCCAAGAGCUUGAGUUGAUGGGCCAAAGAGAAGCCAAAUGUUUGGAUAUAUAUAAAUGCAUCCAGGAAUGCAACUUUCAUUUUAGAUGCCCCAUUGACUAUAACUCUGAGAAUCCAUAAAGCCACUAGCAAUCAGUGACAAAUCUAUAAAGCCGCAAGAUUCCAAGCACAUGAUGGGAAUUGGGGGAAGCAAAAAUAACAGAUAGAAGGUAAAUAACAGCAUUAGGUCAAACAAGUUUGCAUAUGCUGCAAGUUACAAAAACUGAAUUCAAGACUUAAAAAGGACUUGUUUUCCUUUAUCAUCCAACAAAGAUCCAGCAGGCUGUCACAAUGGUGUUGCAAGCCCUUGAGAAAGCCAGCUCCAGCAAGAGGAAUCAACAGCAAUGCUGGAUUUGAGCCGAGCAUUGGCAAUGGCACUGUGAAGUGGCAUUAAUGACUCCAGGCUUCCGAAAACUGAUACAACCCUUGAAGCACUGGGGAUAUGUCGUCUUGAUGGCGAAGACAAAGGAGAGGAAACGGACUUUGCGUUUAGGGUUUUCUGGGAUAGGGUUCUGGAUCGAGCCGCCAUGGACCUUGAGCCUGCCAUUAUAGCUGAUCUACAAAAAGAGGCCAUUUUCCCUCUCUAGAGGAUAGAGGAGGACAGAUCUCUGAGAAACACAGCUUCAACG